CCCUGUGGCAGGAGGAAGGAGGGUCUCAAACUGUGUAAGAGUGGAGAAAUUGAGCUGAGCACAAAUGAGCAGACAAAAAGGAAGAGGGAGAGAAAGUAGAAAAGUGGAGAGAAAGGUAAAGAGUAUGUAUUUCUUAUAAGGGACCGACACUACAAUUGGAGAAGAAAAAAAAGAAGAAGAACAAAAUAAAUACAAGUUUAAUCCCGGAAUGAGAAUGGUACGCGGACAUUUGAGCAGAGACCUCAGUUCUGCAAAGACCUAAAACAGAAGCCCAAAGAAGAAAACCCUGGAUGCCUGCGCAAGGCAGGGAAGGUUCUUCCACAGAAGCCCAAAAUCUUGUCAACUGUAGCUAUGUGUGGGUCAGUAGCGGCCAUACUUUCUGACACAUGUCUUCCUCCUGUCACCAUCUGACCUAACUCCUCUGUCAACCCCAUUACAGCAGCAGGCUUUUCAUCAAAGGGCCCUUAAAACUUUUAAGUCAGGCCCUUCUCAAGUCAUGGCUCCAUCAAGCAGUUGAAGAAACCUUUCCUAAAGGUGGGUCUGAUUGUGCUGUCCCCUCUGUUACAACUGUUG
rnacentral:lncRNA from 1 species